AUUGAACGCUGGCGGAAUGCUUUACACAUGCAAGUCGAACGGCCUCCCUGACUUCGGUCUGGUGGCGAGUGUCGAACGGGUGAGUAAUGUAUCGGAACGUGCCCAGUCGGGGGGGAUACCUUGGUGAAAAUUACGCUAAUACCGCAUACGAUCUAUGGAUGAAAGCGGGGGAUCGCAAGCGCUCGCGCGAUUGGAGCGGCCGAUAUCAGGUUAGGAGGUUGGUGGGGUAGAGGCCCACCAAGCCAACGGUCUGUAGCUGGUCUGAGAGGACGACCAGCCACACUGGAACUGAGACAGGGUCCAGGCUCCGACGGGAGGCGGCAGUGGGGAAUUUUGCAAAAGGUGCGAAAGCCUGAUCCAGCCAUUCCGCGUGCAGGAUAACACACCUCGGGUGGGAACCUGCUUUUGUACAGAACGAAAUGGUCACGACUAAUCAGAGGAGCUCAUGACGGUACUGUAAGAAUAAGCACCGGCUAACUCAGUGCCAGCCGCCGCCGUAA
rnacentral:rRNA from 1 species